CUCCCUGUUGCUUCCGCCUCCCGAGGCGAAGGCGCAGGGCGUGGCAGGGACUGUGCGCUGUGCACUGGGGGGACCCGGGCCGGCAAUCGCCUCGCCGAAGCCUCCGCCGGGGGUCCUGGCACCUCUCUCUCCGGCUCUGGCCCGAAAACUUUUAUUCUGCACCCGGAAGUCCCGGCGGCGGGAGUGCGGUGGGGGUGGGGAGCUGGGGCCCGGAUGAGGGGUACCCGCUAAGCAGUGACUGGGUCACGUCCCAAUGCGUGGCACUUGCCCGCCACGCGCCGUGGCUCCUGCUUUGCGGGUGGAGGGACGGCAGGGACAUUCCUCAGGUGGCUGCCCAGGGUCGCAGCCCUUCAGGAGUGGAGGGAAGUGAUUGGCUUCAAACAAGCUCAAAUCAAUGAACCCCAAGAAGAAGCCUGCUGGGGGCUGCUUGGGAAAGAUUUUCUAACUCUUAAGAAGGAACAUAAGGAGGAAAUGCUACUUUUUUCCUGCUGGAUGUUGUCCCGGUGCUACACCUGUGCUUGGCAGCCACCUUGCAGCCCUAAGAGGACGUGGCCUGAGGAGCAUCUUCACACUGGGGAGGCCUCACAAGAGACAGGAAGAGCAUGGAUCCCCAAUGACACCACUGGGCCAUUAACCAGUCCUGUUGCCGCCCUGCCUGGGAGUUUCUUGUUAUGAAAGAUAAUAAAUAUCUUUAUUUAAACCAGA